GUCUUUUUUUAGAUAUAUUUUUUUUCGUUCUGGUCACCCGUGAAUCAGUGGUAGCUGGUAAUACAACUUUUCAAAACAAGACAAAUAUAUUUCAGAAUAUUAGAAAUGGCUUUUAUAAACACCAUAAUUUAUCUUUAAUAUAUCAAUUUCAAUUUGAGGGCGUAGCUAGAAAGAAACGAUGUGGAAGCAACUACCGCCGAGCGGAGCGAGGCGAAAAAAUUUUGGGACCCUAUUAUGCAGAAUUUUUUUUUUUUUUUUUUCGGUUUUCGGCGGUCAUAGGACGGUUAAAAGAGGAGCUAUAUGUAGAUAAAAAUUUAUGAAUGUAAAACUAUUAAUAAAUCUUCUGAAUAUAGUAAUACAUAAACAACAAAUAUUUGUGAUACAGAAUUUACUCAAAAUUGUCCAAAAUCUGCUCUUCUGGUCUGGGCAGAAACGAAUCCGGGUCUGUUCGCGCCCAUUCACUUUCGCACCCGAUCACGUUCGCAC
rnacentral:lncRNA from 1 species